UGCUGCAGUGUGACAUGGGCGUUUCCUGCUGAUUGGCUGUGGGCCACUUGAAUAUCACACCUAGGCCUUGUUUAGUUCCCAAAACCCAAAAAGUUUUCAAGAUUCCUCGUCAUAUCGAAUCUUUCGACACAUGCAUGAAACAUUAAAUAUAGAUAAAAAUAAAAACUAAUUACACAGUUUACCUGUAAAUCGCGAGACGAAUCUUUUGAUCCUAGUUAGUCCAUGAUUGGUUAAUAUUUGGCACAAACAAAUGAAAGUAAUACAGUAGCGAAAUCCAAAAUCUUUUCGCAUCUAAACAAGGCCCUAGCAUAUGAUAUGUCAGUAUCCACCCAUUCGUCCCACUUUUGCUACGACGGGCA
rnacentral:lncRNA from 1 species